rnacentral:rRNA from 1 species
UACAGAGGGUGCAAGCGUUAAUCGGAAUUACUGGGCGUAAAGCGUGCGCAGACGGUUGCGUAAGUCAGAUGUGAAAGCCCCGGGCUCAACCUGGGAAUUGCAUUUGAGACUGCGUAGCUAGGGUGCGGAAGAGGGAAGCGGAAUUUCCGGUGUAGCGGUGAAAUGCGUAGAUAUCGGAAGGAACACCAGUGGCGAAAGCGGCUCUCUGGGACGGUACUGACGCUGAGACGCGAAAGCGUGGGGAGCGAACAGG